rnacentral:rRNA from 1 species
GACGAACGCUGGCGACGCGCUUAACACAUGCAAGUCGAACGGAAAGGCCUGCUUUCCCUUGUGGAUUGCGGGUACUCGAGUGGCGAACGGGUGAGUAACACGUGAGUGAUCUGCCCCCAACUUGGGUAUAAGCCUGGGAAACUGGGUCUAAUUCCCGAUAGGACUGCAGGGUGGUGCCUGUGGUGGAAAACGAUUUUCUAGUGGUUGGGGAUGAGCUCGCGGCCUAUCAGCUUGUUGGUGGGGUAAUGGCCUACCAAGGCGGCGACGGGUAGCCGGCCUGAGAGGGUGGACGGCCACAUUGGGACUGAGAUACGGCCCAGACUCCUACGGGAGGCAGCAGUGGGGAAUAUUGCACAAUGGGCGGAAGCCUGAUGCAGCGACGCCGCGGGGGGGAUGACGGCCUUCGGGUUGUAAACUCCUUUCGACCGCGAGGAAGCCACCUGGUUGGAAGGGUGGUGACGGUAGUGGUAGAAGAAGCACCGGCUAACUACGUG